rnacentral:rRNA from 1 species
CUAAUACAUGCAAGUCGAGCGAUGAGGCUCCUUCGGGAGUACAUCAGCGGCGAACGGGUGAGUAACACGUGGGUGACUUGCCCCGAAGAUGGGGAUAACCUCUGGAAACGGGGGCUAAUACCCAAUGUGCUCGGUGAUUCGGUUCAUCGAGUAAAGCUCCGGCGCUUCGGGAGAGGCCUGCGGCCCAUCAGCUAGUUGGUAGGGUAACGGCCUACCAAGGCAGAGACGGGUAGGGGGCGUGAGAGCGCGGACCCCCACACUGGCACUGAGAUACGGGCCAGACUCCUACGGGAGGCAGCAGUAAGGGAUAUUGCGCAAUGGACGAAAGUCAGACGCAGCGACGCCGCGUGGGCGAUGAAGGCCUUCGGGUUGUAAAGCCCUUUUAUGGGGGAAGAGAAAAAGGACGGUACCCCAGGAAUAAGUCCCGGCUAACUACGUGCCAGCAGCCGCGGUAAAACGUAGGGGACAAGCGUUAUCCGGAUUCACUGGGCGUAAAGAGCGUUGAGGCGGUUCCGUAAGUUGGGCGUGAAAGCUCCGGGCUUAACUCGGAGAUGUCGUUCAAUACUGCGGGGCUUGAGGACAGCAGAGGAAGGUGGAAUUCCCGGUGUAGUGGUGAAAUGCGUAGACAUCGGGAGGAACACCCGUGGCGAAGGCGGCCUUCUGGGCUGUUCCUGACGCUGAAGGCGAAAGCUAGGGGAGCGAACGGGAUUAGAUACCCCGGUAGUCCUAGCUGUAAACGAUGGAUGCUGGGUGUGGGGGGUGUAAAUUCCCUCUGUGCCGAAGCAAACGCGUUAAGCAUCCCGCCUGGGGACUACGGCCGCAAGGCUAAAACUCAAACGAAUUGACGGGGGCCCGCACAAGCAGCGGAGCGUGUGGUUUAAUUCGAUGCUACACGAAGAACCUUACCUGGGUUUGACAUGCACGUGGUAGGGAACCGAAAGG